UUUCCUUCUCAGAAAAGAAGAAAAAAGAAAAGAAAUCUUUCAUAGGGUUAUAGAAAGAGCGGGAAACGUCACACAAUGUUACAGUAACACUCCACGUGUACCCCCAUCCAACGGUUGAAAUCAGCAACCCGCUACACAUUCGGGUACCCCGACCCAUAUGCUGGUCCUUCAAAUAGCCGAACCCGAUUACAGGAAAGGAAACAAAGCAAGCAAAAAGCGGUCACUGAGAGAGAGAGAGUGACCGAGUCACUGAGUGAGCGAACCGCCAUGGAUCUACAGCAGCAGAACGCAAGAGCUCCACAGCCUCGCCGCGGCGGCGGUUUCUCGGCCCAGUCCUCUUUCCUCUUCCAUCUAAUGGUCAUUUUGUUUGUGCUAGAAGCCUGUCUGCACCGAGUCCCGGAAGGUCAUGUUGGGGUUUAUUAAUGGAGAGGACAUACUCUUCUUAAGACUGUUACAUAUCCGGGGGUUCAUCUCAAGUUGCCUGUGAUAUACUUUGAACCUAUUCAAGUGACCCUUCAGACUCAUCAGUUUUGUGAUAUUCCAUGCGGUACAAAAGAUGAUGUCAUGAUUAACAUUGAGAAGAUAGAGGUUGGAGAUAUGAGAUAGUACCACUCUGUUAAUGUUGUGAGAACUGAGAAGUAAUAGUUUUCAUUGUCCUCGAUCAGUAAAUGCAUUGAUUGGGAUGCCUUUCUCAGGUUGUUAACCGGCUUCGCAAAGAAUACGUGUAUGAGACAUUAAGGAGUUAUGGGACUCAGUAUUACUGCUCAUAUACAUGUGUCGUCGUGUGUAGAGAGAUCAGUAAGCUCUGCGGCUCACAUUCUAUUGAAGAGGUUUUUGAUCAGAUUGAUGAAAAGCUGAGAGAAGCUCUUCACGAUGAUAGUGCGCAUUUUGCUCCCGGCAUUGAAAUCAUCAGCGUGCGUGUCACAAGGCCUACUAUCCCAUGCCAGACAGUGUAAGACGCGGAACACACCAAGGUACCAAAGCUGUAUGGGAGAAGUACAUGUGAAAACUGAGGCGAUGGAAGGAAGUGCAGAAGAGUAGGGAGAUGUGUUAACAUACUCUGUACACACCAAAUAGGGAGAGAGGAUAUGAUCUAGUUCAGUAGCCAAAUGCUUCAGUUGUUUUGAUAGAUGCAAACUCUACAUUACCUUGCAUUAGAAAGGAUGAAUUGAGAACAAGCUUAAGAAUGUAUACAUCACGCAAUCUAAUUCCUCAGACGUUGACCUACUUUUAAUGUAGUCUACUUUUAUAUACAUAUUUAUUUAUGUUACU